rnacentral:lncRNA from 1 species
AUUUUUUCAUAGGCCAAAACUGUCAAAAUCUGCUUUCCUUGUGGCUACCUAUCGUUGAGUCUGCGCUCGAUUAGCUGGAUAUUCUAGACCUAAUAAUUUGUUGGGUUCAAUCCACUAGUCCAAAAUGCUGUAAUUCAAUUAUUGUGUUUAACCUAUAUAUUCAGACUUAUAUACCCUCCACACCUAACUAUAGUUACAUGAGGUGGAACUAUUUUCAAGACUUGGAAUGUCAAGGCGAUGUGAGAUUAUAUAGGAGCCUAGGUGGCUCUUACAGGUUCAAAAGAUGGCUCCUAUUAAAUUCAUAGUGUAGCAUGUACGUUUGAACUCUCACACUUUCACUAGCAAGAAUUGGCUAUAGUCCAGUUAUUGCGUUUAACCUCUUUAGGCUUAUUUACACUGAGUACAUCUAACUAUAGCUCAUGCUCAAUUGCAGCUACCCGAUAUUUUCUGUAGAUUCAAGAGACAGUAAUAGCCCAAUCCACUAGCCCAAAAUGUUAUGUAUUUAGCUUAUUCAAACUUUUAUACCUCUAUAUCUAGUUAUAACUAUCCGAUAUGACACCGACUGUCUCUAGAGCAAGUGACAAAGGACUUGGUAGUUGGUACCCGAGACCCAAGUUUGAAUCCUAGUUGAUUCACAUUUCUAGCUAAGUUUAUUUCUAAAUGAAAUAAACGAAGCGGGUAACGUGCCACCUAUAUCUCAAAAAAAAAAAAAAAACUAUCCGAUAUGACCUCUAUCUAUUCAAACUUAUAUAUUCCUACAUUUUGCCGUAGCUUUCUGAUAUAAAAUUAUUGUCAAGCCACGGAAUGUCACAAAAACAACAUAAAAUUUAUACCAUCUAAUCUUACUCGGGU